AUUGAACGCUGGCGGCAGGCUUAACACAUGCAAGUCGAGCGGAGAUGAGGUGCUUGCACCUUAUCUUAGCGGCGGACGGGUGAGUAAUGCUUAGGAAUCUGCCUAUUAGUGGGGGACAACAUUCCGAAAGGAAUGCUAAUACCGCAUACGUCCUACGGGAGAAAGCAGGGGAUCUUCGGACCUUGCGCUAAUAGAUGAGCCUAAGUCGGAUUAGCUAAUUGGUGGGGUAAAGGCCUACCAAGGCGACGAUCUGUAGCGGGUCUGAGAGGAUGAUCCGCCACACUGGGACUGAGACACGGCCCAGACUCCUACGGGAGGCAGCAGUGGGGAAUAUUGGACAAUGGGGGGAACCCUGAUCUAGCCAUGCCGCGUGUGUGAAGAAGGCCUUAUGGUUGUAAAGCACUUUAAGCGAGGAGGAGGCUACUGAGACUAAUACUCUUGGAUAGUGGACGUUACUCGCAGAAUAAGCACCGGCUAACUCUGUGCCAGCAGCCGCCGUAA
rnacentral:rRNA from 1 species